UCACGGUUGACCCGUGCAGUCCCCUUAGAGUGCUCGGCAUCACCCGGUAGCAACUAAGAUCAAGGGUUGCGCUCGUUGCGGGACUUAACCCAACAUCUCACGACACGAGCUGACGACAACCAUGCACCACCUGUCACUUAUGUCCCCGAAGGGAACGCCCUAUCUCUAGGGAAGGCAUAAGGAUGUCAAGACCUGGUAAGGUUCUUCGCGUUGCUUCGAAUUAAACCACAUGCUCCACCGCUUGUGCGGGCCCCCGUCAAUUCCUUUGAGUUUCAGCCUUGCGGCCGUACUCCCCAGGCGGGGUACUUCCUGCGUUAGCGCCGGCACCCAAGGGGUCGCUCCCCCAGGCACCUAGUACCCAUCGUUUACGGCGUGGACUAC
rnacentral:misc_RNA from 1 species